rnacentral:tRNA from 1 species
GAGGGUGUAGCUCAGUGGUAGAGCACAUGCUUAGCAUGCAUGAGGUCCUGGGUUCAAUCCCUAGUACCUCCU